AACCUACUGAUAAGAAUGAGUAGUAAGCAGUCACACUCGGUUCAGCUUGUAAACAUAGCUGCGCACCUACUAAACAUCUGAGGGAAGAAGAAAAAAAAUACAAAGAAAAUACAGUAUUCACGGCGAAAACAAAAUAACCCUGUGCCUAAAAUAAUACCAGGAAUAGGGACCGGGGGGAGAAAACAGCAGAGUGGCUGGAAGGGAGGUAACGCAGAGAGAUAACAAGAAAAUCCCCAUGGAGUUUCUUCAGCAGCAAAGGGGAGAAGGUACAGCCGCGUGCAAUUCAGCUGGGGGUUUUCAAGAACAGAUCAACAGUGAUAGAGCUCUUCUGUGUUUAAAAGAAAAUUGUCAAGUUGGUGGUGCUAUUGAGGAUACUGGAGAUGGAAGCUCUCAGAAAUGCAAAGCAACACUGGAAUUGCACAAGGAAGUUCUGGUUCUUCAAAAAGAAAAACUACUGUUAGAAAAUGAAAAGCUUCAACUACAAAUUGAAAAACUAAAACUGCGAAAGGAAAAAAUAUGCAGUUAAUUUAUUGGAUUGGUAGUUUUUGGUUCAAGUUAAGCCAAAUAUAUAGCCAUAUAUUAAAUUAACUACCAUUGCAUUUACGUUUUUAGCCUGCAGCACAAAAUGGUAUAGAAAUGAUACAGUAUAUAUUGUUUUAGCUUUAAGAAAUAAUUCAGAAAAAACAAUCCCAAAACUAAAAACGAAAAUGUGUCUUUAUAUUUAGGUAUUAUUUAACUGUAUAAAUACAUCCAUACUAUUUUUGUUCUGUCUUUUUAAUUUUAUAUA